AGCGCAAUACUGAUUUUUUUGCAGCGGAAGAUGCGCGCGAGGUCAACACGGCACGCGCGCUUCCGUCUGUAGAUCAAUUACUGCUUCCGGUAGUUUUACUCUGAAGAGAAACACAAACAGUUUGUUUAUCGUCGUGGAUUAUACGAUUCGUUUUUAUAUUCAAGACUCAAUGUGCUGCUAUGGUGACCCACCCCCUCAACAUCCAAUGAUGAUCUUCAUCUGCAGCACAUUCACAAAGACUGUUAACAUGAAGACAGGAGGCGACCCAUCAUUCAUCCAAACUUGACUGAAGUGUUGAGUGUUGAUACAUUAAAGGUUCAUCAGCGGACUGAACGCUGCUCUGUAAUGUCUGUAAUGAAACGCAUCACAUCAACAACACUCCGCACAACAAUACAACAAUACAUCAACAAAUCUAACAUACACUCACAAACUUGUGAUUUCACUAUUACAAUAUUGAUUUGACACUGAGAGCGAUAAGAGCAAUGUGAAGACAAAACGCAUCAUUUCUCAUCAAUAAAACAUCAGAAGUUUUCACGUGUUAGUGUUUAUAUAGCACGUAACUAAUAAAGCCUAUGACUGAGUUUAAGAAAGAAUCAAUAAAUGGAACAAAAUAACAUUUCAAUUUUUUCAUGAAUAAAUUUUACAACUUCA